rnacentral:rRNA from 1 species
ACUCAAAGGAAUUGACGGGGACCCGCACAAGCGGUGGAGCAUGUGGUUUAGUUCGAAGCAACGCGAAGAACCUUACCAAGUCUUGACAUCCCUCUGACCGGCCCGUAACGGGGCCUUCCCUUCGGGGCAGAGGAGACAGGUGGUGCAUGGUUGUCGUCAGCUCGUGUCGUGAGAUGUUGGGUUAAGUCCCGCAACGAGCGCAACCCCUAUCCUUAGUAGCCAGCAGGUGAAGCUGGGCACUCUAGGGAGACUGCCGGGGAUAACCCGGAGGAAGGCGGGGACGACGUCAAAUCAUCAUGCCCCUUAUGAUUUGGGCUACACACGUGCUACAAUGGCGUAAACAAAGGGAAGCGAGACAGCGAUGUUGAGCAAAUCCCAAAAAUAACGUCCCAGUUCGGACUGCAGUCUGCAACUCGACUGCACGAAGCUGGAAUCGCUAGUAAUCGCGAAUCAGAAUGUCGCGGUGAAUACGUUCCCGGGUCUUGUACACACCGCCCGUC